rnacentral:rRNA from 1 species
GGGUUCGGCCCUCGGCAGACGGCUCAGUAACACGUGGAUAAUCUGCCCUUAGGUGGAGAAUAACCUCGGGAAACUGAGAAUAAUACUCCAUAGAUCUAGGAUGCUGGAAUGCACUUAGAUUGAAAGUUCCGACGCCUAAGGAUGAGUCUGCGGACUAUCAGGUAGUAGUCAGGGUAAAGGCCUGACUAGCCUACGACGGAUACGGGUUGUGAGAGCAAUAACCCGGAGACGAUAUCUGAGACACGAUAUCGGGCCCUACGGGGCGCAGCAGGCGCGAAACCUUCACAAUGUGCGAAAGCACGAUGAGGGGAUCCCAAGUGCUUGCUCGUAAGAGUAAGCUGUUUUUAUGUCUAAAAAGCAUAGAGAGUAAGGGCUGGGUAAGACGGGUGCCAGCCGCCGCGGUAAUACCUGCAGCUCAAGUGGUGACCACUAUUAUUGGGCCUAAAA